UGCGUAGGCGGGCUAAUAAGUCAGUGGUGAAAUCUCUCGGCCCAACCGGGAAACUGCCAUUGAUACUGUUAGUCUUGAGUUCGGUUGAGGUAGGCGGAAUGUGUAAUGUAGCGGUGAAAUGCUUAGAUAUUACACAGAACACCAAUUGCGUAGGCAGCUUACUAGACCGACACUGACGCUGAGGCACGAAAGCGUGGGGAGCGAACAGGAUUAGAUACCCUGGUAGUCC
rnacentral:rRNA from 1 species